rnacentral:rRNA from 1 species
GAUGAACGCUGGCUACAGGCUUAACACAUGCAAGUCGAGGGGAAACGACGGGGAAGCUUGCUUCCCCGGGCGUCGACCGGCGCACGGGUGAGUAACGCGUAUCCAACCUGCCUCUGACUGAGGGAUAACCCGUCGAAAGUCGGCCUAAUACCUCAUGGCAUCGUCUGCGGGCAUCCAACGACGAUUAAAGAUUUCAUCGGUCAGGGAUUGGGAUGCGUCUGAUUAGCUUGUUGGCGGGGUAACGGCCCACCAAGGCUACGAUCAGUAGGGGUUCUGAGAGGAAGGUCCCCCACAUUGGAACUGAGACACGGUCCAAACUCCUACGGGAGGCAGCAGUGAGGAAUAUUGGUCAAUGGGCGGGAGCCUGAACCAGCCAAGUAGCGUGCAGGAUGACGGCCCUAUGGGUUGUAAACUGCUUUUAUGCGGGGAUAAAGUGAGGGACGUGUCCUUCAUUGCAGGUACCGCAUGAAUAAGGACCGGCUAAUUCCGUG